UGCGCGGUAGUGAAACGGAUAUAUAGAUCACGUUGGCCUCAUAAGCCGAAAAUUGCCUGUUCGACUCAGGCUCGCGCAUCCA
rnacentral:tRNA from 1 species